GUCCAGGUAGCUCAGCGUUAGAGCGACAGGUUGAGAACCUGCAGGUCGGGAGUUCAACUCUCCCCCUGGACA
rfam:Candidatus Jorgensenbacteria bacterium RIFCSPLOWO2_01_FTLL_45_25b rifcsplowo2_01_scaffold_2523, whole genome shotgun sequence.